GGAUGAACGCUGGCGGCGUGCCUAAUACCUGCAAGUCGAGCGAACAGACGAGGAGCUUGCUCCUCUGACGUUAGCGGCGGACGGGUGAGUAACACGUGGAUAACCUACCUAUAAGACUGGGAUAACUUCGGGAAACCGGAGCUAAUACCGGAUAAUAUAUUGAACCGCAUGGUUCAAUAGUGAAAGACGGUUUUGCUGUCACUUAUAGAUGGAUCCGCGCCGCAUUAGCUAGUUGGUAAGGUAACGGCUUACCAAGGCAACGAUGCGUAGCCGACCUGAGAGGGUGAUCGGCCACACUGGAACUGAGACACGGUCCAGACUCCUACGGGAGGCAGCAGUAGGGAAUCUUCCGCAAUGGGCGAAAGCCUGACGGAGCAACGCCGCGUGAGUGAUGAAGGUCUUCGGAUCGUAAAACUCUGUUAUUAGGGAAGAACAAAUGUGUAAGUAACUAUGCACGUCUUGACGGUACCUAAUCAGAAAGCCACGGCUAACUACGUG
rnacentral:rRNA from 1 species